rnacentral:tRNA from 1 species
ACCGAAAUAGCCCAGUUGGGAGAGCGUUAGAUUAUAGAUCGAAAGUCCCUGGUUCGAUUCUGGGUUAAGGCG